rnacentral:rRNA from 2 species
UACGUAGGGUGCAAGCGUUGUCCGGAAUCAUUGGGCGUAAAGAGCGUGUAGGCGGCCCGAUCAGUCCGCUGUAAAAGUCCAGGGCUCAACCCUGGGAGGCCGGUGGAUACUGUCGGGCUAGAGUCCGGAAGAGGCGAGUGGAAUUCCUGGUGUAGCGGUGAAAUGCGCAGAUAUCAGGAGGAACACCAAUGGCGAAGGCAGCUCGCUGGGACGGUACUGACGCUGAGACGCGAAAGCGUGGGGAGCAAACAGG